AAGUUUAUGUGUCUAGGAAAUGGUCAAGUUUCAAAAUUCCAAUGUGGCCCUGGGCAGGUGACUUAACUUCUCUUUACCCAUGACUUCCUCAUCUCUAAAGAGGAGAAAAUGGUACCUAACCCCCCCCACCCCUGCCCCCAGGACUGUUGCCCGCUGUGGAUGCGCUAAAGUAUUUAAAGCGCAUGGGGAAAUGUUUGGCCAGUGGCAAACCCUUGGAAAAUGUUCAGACAAGAUCAUUUUUGUGGUCAUUACUAUUAUGGUUGUCAACAUUAGUACGAGUGCUGUCUUUCCACCCUGCAGCCCCGCCUAAUCCAAGUGCAGUCAGUGCUGCAUCAGGAAGACGGAAGGCUGAGGAUGUCCCCGGAGAUGGUGGCAUCCUUUUGACUCUCAAACAUAAAAAGGAUUCAUAAGGGAAAAGAGUUUGCUGGACUUUGAAAGAAGGGUAGGAUUUUUUUUUUUUUUUGUCUUUUUAGGGCCGCACCCGUGGCAUACAGAGGUUCCCAGGCUAGGGGUCCAAUCAGAGCUGCAGCCACCGGCCUACACCAGAGCCACAGCCACACCAGAUCCGAGCCGCAUCUGUGACCUACACCACAGCUCACAGCAGCGCCGGAUCCUUAACCCACUAAGCGAGGCCAGGGAUCGAACCCACAACCUCAUAGUUCCUAGUCGGAUUCACUAACCAUGGAGCCACGACAGGAACUCCAAGGGUAGGAUUUUAACAGGCAGAGAGAGGAAUGAGGCUGGAUGAAGAAGCGAUUCCAGGGACGGGGAUGAACUUGGAAAAAGGCACUGAGAGAGGAUAUGGCAGGAGUGUCGUGGGAUAGUGAACGGGAUGCAUGAGACAGGUGAGUGGGAGACAAAGCAGGACUGGAGGGGACACUGAGCUAAUUUAAGGAGGUUGGCCUUUUACCUGAAGGCAAUGGGGAGCCCUGGAGGGUUUUGAUCAGCGCUGCGCCAGAGGAAGAUUGCCAUGGCAACAGCUCUGGGGAAGGAAGGGCGGGAGGGAGGCCAGCUCGGUAACUACUGCCAUGGUUAAGGGAAGAGGUAAUGAGGAUCCGGAUUAGAGCGACGGCUUGGGGACAGGCUAGGAGGGAACCGAUUCGGGGCAGAACGUGGAAGGGACUUAAAGGAUCACAGCGUCCUCGUGUGCAGAGUGUGCGGAGAGAAGGCAGGUGGAGGAGGGAAGCUGGAGGGCUUAAGCCCACUGUCUGAAGUGCAGGCUCCAAAUAACUUAAGACUUAUAGCAUUUGAGGCCAUCUGCCUGCUGUGACAAAUGACUGAAUUAUUUCUUGGUGCGUUUUCUAGCUGGUUCUGCUUAGACUUUGAGCGAUUGGUUUGUUCACUCGCUGGUUCAUUUAUUAAGCCACAUGCUCAGAGUUUCUGUUUAGCGAGCUCAGUCAAGAGAUCCAAGGUGCUUUAGACAACCAUGAGCCAGGGAGAGGGAAGGCAUCUGGAAGAAGAGAGUCCUGCUAGAAACGGGACAUCUGUGUUCCCGCCAAAUUCAUAUGUGGAAAUCGAUUCCCCCAACGUGAUGGCAUUAGGGGUAGGGCCUUGGGGAGGUGAUUGCGUCGUGAGAGUGGCGCCCUUAAGAAUGGGAUUAGAGCCUUUAUGAAAGAGACCCCAGGGAGUUCCCCUGCCCCCUUUCCUCCCCUCCACGUGAUGACACAGCGAGAAGGCACCGUCUAAGAACCCGGAAGCAGAACCUCACCCGACUCAGAAUCUGCUGAUGCCUUGUCUCCAACUCCCCAGUCUCCAGAACUGUAAGAAAUAAAUGUCUGUUGUUUAUAAACAAUCCCUCAGACUAUAGGAUGCUUUUUGUGGCAGCCCAAAUGGACCAAGACAGGCCCCCAAAGUGGUGGCUUGAACGGGCCACCAUUAAUUUAUCUUUCAUAGGCAAGUUUAGAGUCAGUUCAGAGACGGCGUGAGGGCCUGAUGGCAAAGGGAAAUUAGAAACCAGCCUUCGAACCCACCUGUCCUGCCACCCUCAACACACGUAGCUUCCCUCUCGGGAUCCAGGAUGGCUGCUCCAGCGGCCGCUGUUCUGUCUACACUCAAGCAAGGAAAGGGGAUCAAGCCAAGAAAGUGAACUCAUUGCUGCUGUUCACAUCCCACAGCUGGAACGUUUUCCCAUGGCCACAGAACUGCAAGGGAGGCCAACAAAUGUACCCUCGCGUCGGGUGACCUCGGAACGCUGUACGAAACCUACCCCCAUGGAAGAAGGGGAGGCUGGCAAACAAAUACAGUCUCUGCUCCAAUUCCCAGUACCUGCUAAAUGCAGGAAAUUUAGAAGGGGCUUCAUCAAUCUGUAUUGUGAGUUAAUGAAAACAUCACGAGAGGUUCUGGGGACACCAAGAUGCAAUAAUAUACUUUCUGUUGGGAAGCCGCUUUUACCGGGGGCUAGACAAGUAAAGAAAUAAAGACAGCGAAUUGCUCUAUGGAGUGGGACGGCAGCCUGUGUGGGGCUCAGUUUAAAAACAGUCACAAAGGAGAAAGGCAGCGCAUCCACCUGGGGCGCGAGAGAGGUCAGGAAAGACUUGGCCGAGAAGGUGAUGCACUGCUGAGCGUGGAAAGAUGAGUCGACGCUGUCUGGGGAGCCAGGUGGGGAAGGCUAUUCAAGGACGAAAGAGCACUGGCCAAGAGAGGAGGGUUGAGACAUAACUCGACACAUUCGGAGGAGGGCAAGGAGGGUGGGAGAGGAAUGGCAAGAGAAGGGGCUGGGGCGGGUGGGCGGGGGGCCAGGUCUGGGGACCCUAGGUUUUCUCCCAUAGGAAAUGAUGGCCCACUGAACAGUUUCAAGCACUUGUGUUUAAGGGGUCAGGGGUGUGUGGAUACAAAGACAUUUGAAUUUUUGGGACACGGCUUUGGGCGCCCUUGGUGAGGGAUGGGUUAACAGUGAGGCUGGUAGCAGGAAGAAAAAUUACUGCCGAAGCUUUGUUUUUCUUGGUAAAGCCCUCAAGUCUGGUGCAAUGUAUAACUUUCAAUAGCCGAGUAUACCUUAUAAAUACCUCCCAUCAAACCAGAAAUAUUUUAUUUGAAAUCAAAGUUGCAGUUGACUGUUUUAAGACCAAGGCUAACUGACAUAUAUAUAUAUUUUGGUCAUCAGUUUUAUUUCUCGUGCCCAAAUUUCCUCUGUCUGUGUUGGCCUCUCCUGCUGAAGACUGAAAAGAUAAUGACGAUAUUUAGAGAAGACUAAAUAUCAAGAGACUCGUGGGACAGGUCUCUUGCCUUCUGAACAUCCGCUGAACGAUGAGCAGGGCUGGAAGGGAUGAGCUGAAACAGUCUGCUCUGUAGGAAGAGUUGAAACCAUGGAAAGGAGAGGUAUUCUGCGACAGGAAAGGUUGACUGAAGAGGAAACUGGCAUGAGGGAACUUUCAUAGCUCCCCAAGGCCGCUCAGCCAUAAAGCGCCAAGGUUGCGAUGAAGCCUAGGUCUUCAAACACUGCACCCUGGGCUGUCACUGCCUUCCUAUGAAGCACCCGAAUUUUAGCAUCAAUGAUGUAUUCACACCACCUGGGAAAACUUUAUCUCUUCAUCAGGAAGAACUUUCCAAUUAUGGGGGCACCUCUUUGUGAGAUUUGGAGAAAAAUCUGGGAACUCUGCACUAAGUGGUGAGUGUGUUAGUUAUUUAGCAACGGGAUUCCGUGGAAGGAGACUUACUGGAAAUAUUCAAGGAGAGACCAAGGGCGUGGCUACGGAUUGAACCGGAUUCACAUUUUAUAGGCUAGGUUCCUGAUGGCCUAGAGGAAUGGGAAAUCACUGCAGGGGGCUCAUGUUAUGAGCCGAAUUGUGUCCCCCCAACUUCACAGGCUGGCACCUCAAUCUCCAGUACCUGAGAUGUGACCAUGUAAAGAUACAGGAGGAAGGAAGGUCACCUGUAAGCCCCAGAGAGUGGCAUCAGAAGAAACCAGCCCUGCCAACAACUUGAUCUUGGACGUCCCCUUUCCAAGACUGUGAAAAAAAUACAUUUCUGUUCUUUAAGCCAGCCAGCCGGUGGCAUUUCGUUUUGGCAUUGCUAGCAAACUAAUAGUUUGCCAUCAGCAUUUUAUAGACCAGCAACUAUCAGAACACAGUCAGGACAGCAUUGUUUCAGGAACUGUUCAUUCGAGUGGAUGAUGUGUUACACGGAUUGGAUUGUGAUAUAAAUGUGGGCCCUGUCACCAAAGGUGGAGCAACCCUGGACUUGACAUCCCAAAGUGCUCUUCUAAUUUUGAUGAUCGAACUAAUUGUUAAUAUUAUAAUUAAUAUGUGAAUAGUCAGAGUAUAUCAGUUAAUAUGUAUUAAUUGCCUCUGAGUGCCAAAGGUUUACAAGUAUUAACUCCCUUACUCCUGAAACAUCCCUUCAAGGCAAUUAUUAUUCCUAUUUUACAGAUGAAGUUGAGACUAGUUAUUUAAUGUGUCCAGGGUCAAAUACUUAGCAUUUUUUCAGAGAAAGGAUUCCUGCCCAGAGCAGCCUGUCUUAAAAGGCUACAUUCUCCCUAUUCAGCAUCAUUAUGGGAGCUUCCCAUAAUCCUCCAGCCUGUUCCUUAGCACCCAAGCACCAGCGUCCCCUCGGCAAAGCAUUCAGUGAUGGAAAUUAGGAAGACCUUGGACUUAAUAGGCUCCGUGCCUGUGACUGACAAAGAGCACAAUGGACCUUUUAUGAUGGCAGUAAGGACAGGAUGCGAUUCUUCUCUUGGCAUAGAGCUUUCUGCUCUGUCCACCAAGUACCCAGGUCAGAAAUCGAACUGACGCUACAGCAGUAACCAGAGCCACAGCAGUGACAGCACCAGAUCCUUAACCCACUAAUCCACCAGGGAACUCCACUGGGAACUCUUUUUGCCAAGUAUCUCUUGCUGCCAGCCCCACUCCUCUCCAGGAUCUGCACUGUUUUCCUUCUGGACUUCAACGGGCUCUACCAAGUCUCGCAACUGCUCUCAUAGAAUUAAUUCCUCCCGCGCCCAACGUCUUCUCCACGGAAUCAUCAGAAUUCCCUUUCUGCAACCACCUGGGAUCAUAUCAGUCUAUGUUCAAAGCACCUGGUGGUCCCCAAAUUCAUAAGGCUGGUACCUGGGGGGCCUGUCCCCAUAGCCCUGCUUCAUUUAUGCUCGCCCCACCCAUCUGAGCUUCUUGCCCUGGAAAUUCCACACUGUUCCUUGACUCCAAGCCUUGGCAUAUGCUAAGCCUUCUGCCUGGCACAGAAUUCUCAAUAGAGAGUAAUGCAUGAAAGAGGCAAUCAGAAAUGCUCCCUGGAAAGAUGAAUGAAUGAAUUCAUUAGAUGGAUGAAUGGACUAUUUUACUUAAUAUAAUUACUUACAAGAAAAGGCAAAAAUGACAUGAAGAUACAUGCAAAGUAAAUUUAAAGGUUAAUAUAAGAAUGGCAAAUGCAAGGCAGGAAAAAGAAACACUUUUCCCCACUGAGAACAACCAAAGCUAAGCCCUUUAGUUACUGCCAUCUGGGGCGAAGGUGGGUGCCAUUUGGCUCGGAGCUCACCGUGCCUCAUUAUGCCUGAUUUGCACUGCCUUCCACAGUCCUGGGUCCAGACGCCUUUGAGUAAUGUGCACAGAGCAUCAUAGGCUGCAAAGCUCUAUGGCACCAGGGAUGCCUGAAGGAUGCUCAGACCAUUUUGCAGGUCAGGAAACUGAGGCUGGAUAUGAGUUUAGCAACUAGUUCAAGGUCACUAAGAUCAAAGCCACAGAGCCAGGGCUGGAAUUUGGGUCAGGGGUAUAAAUUCCAUACAUUAAGCUGCCCUCACCUGCUGGGUGACAGGUGCAAGGAUGUCCUUUUGUUGAUCUCAUCUUACUCAUUUCCAGGAAGGUUUGUCACUUGCCAGGGAGCCCUAACAGAGUGGUCUGAAGUUCAGGAAAAAGAAGAAAAGCAAAGGAAGAAGGGAAGAGGGCAGACAGCGGAGGAUUUGCUGCAGUUGGGUUUUCAAGAACAAAAAAUACAUAUAGGGGAGGCAUGGGAUCCUUCCUUCCCAAACAUAUUUCCUUUUGGCUUGAGAUGUUACAAGACUCCAAAUUGGAGCUUGUCUUGUCUCC
rnacentral:lncRNA from 1 species